CCUCGCUGGAGGAUACCCCGGGAACUGGGACUAAUACCCGAUAGGCGAAGACUCCUGGAAUGGGUCUUCACCCAAAAGGUGUUAAGAUCAUGCUUUUUAACAUCGCCCGAGGACGGGGCCGCGACCGAUCAGGUAGUUGGCGAGGCAACGGCUCACCAAGCCUAUAACCGGUACGGGCCGUGGGAGCGGGAGCCCGGAGAUGGGCACUGAGACAAGGGCCCAGGCCCUACGGGGCGCAGCAGUUGCGAAAACUUGUCAAUGCACGAAAGUGUGAACGGGCUACCCCGAGUGCCGUCCGCUGAGGAUGGCUUUUCUCUGCUGUAAGAAGGCAGAGGAAUAAGGAGAGGGCAAGUCUGGUGUCAGCCGCCGCGGUAAUACCAGCUCUCCGAGUGGUAGGGAUGAUUAUUGGGCUUAAAGCGUCCGUAGCCGGCCUUUCAAGUCUUUCGUUAAAUCCAGCGACUAAUCGUUGGACUGCGGGAGAUACUGUUUGGCUAGGGGGCGGGAGAAGCCGACGGUAUUCUCGGGGUAGGGGUAAAAUCCUAUAAUCCCGGGAAGACCACCAGUGGCGUAGGCGGUCGGCUAGCACGCGCUCGACGGUGAGGGACGAAAGCUGGGGGAGCGAACCGGAUUAGAUACCCGGGUAGUCCCAGCUGUAAACGAUGCGGGCUAGGUGUUGGAGCGGCUACGAGCCGCUUCAGUGCCGCAGGGAAGCCAUUAAGCCCGCCGCCUGGGGAGUACGGCCGCAAGGCUGAAACUUAAAGGAAUUGGCGGGGGAGCAC
rnacentral:rRNA from 1 species